UAGGGAAUAUUGGGCAAUGGACGGAAGUCUGACCCAGCCAUGCCGCGUGCAGGAAGAAGGCGCUCAGCGUUGUAAACUGCUUUUAUCGGGGAAGAACGGCAGUCCUGCGGGAUUGUGUGACGGUACUCGAGGAAUAAGCACCGGCUAACUCCGUGCCAGCAGCCGCGGUAAUACGGAGGGUGCGAGCGUUGUCCGGAUUUAUUGGUUUUAAAGGGUGCGUAGGUGGUUGAGUAAGUCUGGUUUGAAAGUCAGUCGCUUAACGAUUGGGGGUGGCUAGAUACUGCUGAGAUUGAAUGCCAUGGAGGUAGAUGGAACGGGUUGUGUAGCAGUGGAAUGCAUAGAUAUGACAAAGAACCCCACUUGCGAAGGCGGCCUACUACGGAGUGAUUGACACUGAGGAACGAGAGCAUGGGGGGCAAGCA
rnacentral:rRNA from 1 species